UACGGAGGGUGCAAGCGUUGUCCGGAUUUAUUGGGUUUAAAGGGUGCGUAGGCGGCCUAAUAAGUCAGUGGUGAAAGCCUCCAGCUUAACUGGAGAACUGCCAUUGAUACUGUUAGGCUUGAGUAUACUUGAGGUAGGCGGAAUUGACAGUGUAGCGGUGAAAUGCUUAGAUACUAUAAAGAACUCCGAUAGCGUAGGCAGCUUACUAAACUGAUACUGACGCUGAGGCACGAAGGCCAGGGGAGCAAACGGG
rnacentral:rRNA from 1 species